rnacentral:lncRNA from 1 species
AAAUUAUGUUCCUCUGACCCUCCUCGCUCUGCACAGAGCUUCAUCUUCUGGAACAGAUCCACCAAACGAGAGCCAGAAGAUGCAGCAGCCCAGGUCUAAUUUGUAUGCAGAGACCCUGGUCAGACAGGCAAAAUAUCUUUGUCCAAAAAACCUCAGAAUUGAAUAUCCAAACCCCUAUCUAGUUAGUGUGCUUCUUAGAAUACAAAUAGAAUUACAAAAUGUUUCAGUAAUCAAAAAGGGACAGCAUCGGCAAACAGUUGACAUCAAAAUUGUCUGCUCAUCAAAGAGGAAUGACAGAUCCUCCUUCAUCAACAUGUUUUCCUUAGGAAUGGUGCCAGGAUGCAGGGCAUAAGUGAGAGGACAGUUCCCUUGGUUAUGAGGUAACUAAAAAUAGCCACCUUUGAAAGCCAUCAGAGGUCACUUGUUUUGAAGAAAAUCAUCAGAAGAACUUUGAACUAUAAGAUAUUGACUAUUAAAUCAUGUUAUUUUCUUCAUUUGUCAAAGUUAUUGGGAUGUAGCAAAUACUUGAGACUUUGAAUUGAGUAGAUUUUGAGUAGAUUUAUGAAUGAAAUCAAAGGACACACAAAAACAGUGUAAUUCACCCAUCUGGAGACUCCACGUAUGAGUUUGAAAACUUUUAGUAUGUAUGCCAAUUAGUCCAUCCAGCCAAAUAGGCACAACAAUUUUCCGAUAAUAAGAAAAAUAAGACCAAGAAGCUAGCUGGAAUACUAAGAAAAACAACAGAGGGAGUUAAAUUCUUCAUUAAAAUUGACCACUUCUAGAGGCCUUGCAGGAAAUAUUAAAAUAAGUUCUUCAAUGAGAAUGAAAAUGAUAUAGGUCAGAAACUUGGAUCUGCAUGAAGAUACACCUUAAAAAAGGAAGAGCAUCAGAAAAAUGAAUAAGUGAAGGUCAAGUGCUGUGCUGUACUGAUUGAUAGAUUGUCUCCAGCAGGAAGUUUGACAAUGGACAACCUAGAAGCAGAUGUGCCUGAUAAAUGUAAAUGGUAGCUUCUUUGUGGCCCUUCCACCAGAAGUGAAGAAGCCUGGUGCAGAGCUUCUACUUGACCUAUGAUAGAUAUGCUGCUGGAGAAGAAAUCAACCUCCUGCCUGAGGACCUCAACAGAUGCACCUGCCCAAUCUUAAACUUUCCAGCAAUCUGAAUUGUGAGCCAAAUAAUUUUUUUAUAAAUUAUCCAGCUUCAAGUAUUAUACCAACAAAAAAAAGGAAAUGCAAUGAGUCAAUAUACUUACUGAGAUUGCAGAAGAGACUGAACACUGCGCUAGGCUCUGAAGAGAAAGAUGAAAAAGAAGAAAGUGCUCCUGAGUAUAUGACUACUUGUACUUGCUAGCACUGAGGCAAGUACAAACUCUAGGCAUCAGGCUUUUGGUCUCACUCUUAGCGAAUUUGAACACUGGCUUUUUUGUUGGGCUUCCAUUCUUCUCUCAGCGCAAGAAUACCAACGUUUAUGACCCAGGAAGCACCAACUUAUACUUCACAGAGCUAAGAAACAGCAUUUCGCCAUGUCACGCAGGCUGGUCUUCAACUCCUGGACUCAAGCUAUCCACGGGCCUCGGCCUCCCAAAGUGCUAGGAUUACAGGCAUGAGCCACUAUGUCCGGCUUGGAGUUUUUAGUCUCAUCAAACCAACUCACCCAAAUGUCCCUUGGUGACAAAAAGUUUUCUGAAAGAUUAAGUAAUCUUUGUUUCCCAAGCCUGACAAAAUAAAAAGUUUUCUGUCUCUCUCUUUCUCUUUUGCACUGUUUCUCUUUAAGUCUUGUUAGAAUACAGAACUGUAGACAUUUAGACAGAGCCAGGGUCAUUGUCUUGACUGGCCCACUGACCAGAUUAGUAAUUCUUAAACUAGGGUCCCUAGACCAGCACCACAGGCAUCUGUGGGCUUGUUAGAAAUGCACAUCCUUGGACCACUGAAUCAGAUAUUUUGAGAGUGGGCUCAAUAAUCUCUGUUUUGAGAAGACCCCCAAGUAAACCUGAUGCACAGUAAUUGUUGAGAAACACUGAAUAAAUUGUAUACCAUUAGCCUGUUUUUAAAAAUCAUCUGAGCCAUUCCUUUAUUAUAUGAGAUGACCAUUAAAAUCUCACUCAGUUUUAUCAUAUAAUGAAACAUUUGGUGAUAGCAUAAAACUCUAUUUUGAUGGCUCAGUUUUUAUGAUUUCCUUUGAUAUAAUUGUUUCCUUAAGAAGGUGCCAGUUUUGAAAAGGAAACUGUUUUGUUCCCUUUUGUACAGCACAAGCUAAGGAUCUAUGAUGGAAUGAUAAUUAAUCUGUAAACUAUAAUUAUGUUGUCGAUUCUGGCUGUAUAUGGGGCAUACCUGAUUCAUCUGCUACUUGAUGUCCUGCAUGACCAUCACCAGACACCAAGCAGCAGAACAAGACCAUGGACCACAGAGUCCUGGAAAUGUCUACCUCCUGAGCUGAGCCACCACCAGGAAUGGUGUCAGUAAAUGCAUGAGCACCAGAGUAUUUUGAAUGAAAGGAAAAAAGUGCAAUUCAGGAUAUGACUCCCUACCCCAGCCUACUAGCAGAUCCCAAAUGUUGUCAUAAUCCAGUAAAAUAUAACACUACCAAGUUGUGAGGCACUGAGAAACCAUUGCAGGUGAUAGCCAACUGUGUGUUCCCAACUCUGAGCAGUUCUGCCUGUCAGAAUCUUCCCAUCUCAGUCCCCACCCACCUCUUCAGCCUCAUGUUUCCUCAAGCCUUUCUUCAGAUUGACCACACUUCACUUCUGUGUCUACGAGGAUUUGCCUUGUCACUAAAAUUGUUAUGUUACAAUAGGGCCCCAUAUCCAUUAGGUAAUUGGCUUUGUCAUCACCUUCACUUCUAGUUACUUUCUUGGAAUGUUAAAUGAAACAUUCUUGCCUUAAUAGUAACAUCAGUUCCUACAUAUCUUCCUUGUGUGUGUUUGGUUGGCUGAUUGUCACUUUCUACUCUGAAUGUUGAAUCAGACUGCCACUUUCUACUCUGAAUGUUGAAUCACCUUCUUGCUCUGCCCUCUACUUGCAUUUUCUUGUCUACUUACCUGUCCACUUAUCUUUUGAUCUUUUUGCCUCCCCUUCUUUGGGCAUCCCUGUCCUUCAGCUUGCCUGGAUAUGACUUCUAGCCUUGUGUGAUCUUGGAUAUGUGUGCGUAGCCCAAAGUUAUACCAUUCAACAGACUCCAAUGUCAUUAAAGGGAUCUUGUUCCACCAUGUAUUUUUCUGCCUUUUCCCCUAAAUUACCAAAAUUUUUGGCCUGUUAACAUUUCUGUCUCUGUAUACAGAUCAUAGUCCUUUAAUGUACUUUACUACAUGCAGAAAUUCUAUUGAUUUGGAUUCAAGUCUUUCAUAUUUGGCAUUGCUUUGCAAUUCACUUGCUCUUUUAUAGACCCAUUUUGACAGUUCUCAAGAAGGCUGGUGAAACAAGCCUGGCUGUGAUUUGGGCUGCAAUUCUUUCUUUCUCUCCGUGAGAAAUCUUUGUAGCACUGUAGUCAAAGCUGCAUACAGAAUUGUCUGACCAGCUGCUGUCCAUGGAUAGAGCCAAGGCACCAGGCUGACCUCAUACCUAAGAAGCAGUUAUUCAGAAGUUGUACAUGAUUAUCAAAGAUGGAAUUUAUCUCUACCUAGGGCUAAAAGUUUAGGCAGUUCUGUACUGAUUACUUUUUUCAGUCACAUCAAACUCAUCCUCAUACAGAAUAAAAUAAAAUAAGUUUUUCGUGUGCCUGUCUUGCUUUGGGAAAUGAAGAAAUGAGAGUAAGUAUCAUCUUGUUUAUGAAGAGCAAAUACUAUGAUUAAAAAUCAAGAUUAAAAACCUCACACUGUUCAGGACAACUGGAUCACAAGAAUAUUUUGGUUUCAAGUAUCACUGAAUUUUAUUAAUCUCUCUAAGAAAACUUUAUACAAAUAAUAAUUAAGCCUUGGAUUUGCUGAAUGGAUGUUGGAAAAUAGUAAGGUAAAGAGAGGCCAGCAAUCUCUUUUGAACUACUAGCCUUCUGGACCAGUGUGACUCUGCCUUUGAUGAGGAGUACAGGAGGAGGAGAAAGACUUUUAAGAAGAUUGAGCACUUGUCAUAAAACAAGACUGCUAGGGACAUACAUAGCAUGGUUGAAAAAAUGACUUUUGGAGUCUCACUAUGGUCUGUACUAGCGCUAACAACAAAUGAAAAUACAAUGUGGGCCAAUUUGUAAUGUUUAAUGUUCUAAUAGCCACAUUAAUAUAUGUGAAUAAUCUGAUAAAAUUAAUUUCAACAAUAUAUUUUAUUUACCCAAAUAUGGAUGAAAUUAUUAUCCAACAUAUAAUCAAUGUAAAAUGUUUUUAAUGAAAUACUUUCAUUUAAAAAAAUUUGAACUAAGUUUUUGAAAUCCAGUAUGCAUUUUAAACUUGCAGCACAUCUCAGUUCAGACUAACUAUAACUCAAGUACUCAAUAGCACCUGUAGCCAGGGGCUCCCCUAUUGAACAGUGUAAUUUUGGUCCCAUAGCAUCCUCCAUUGACCAAGCAAUGAAGAAAAAAGUCCAACUAUGGUCCAGGAAAAAUAUCCAGUGCUGGCUGUGUCUAUAUUCUAAUAGUGAAUGCAUAGGUCAUCAUACAUAGUACAUGAUAAGCACUAGGAAUUGGGAAGACAAUAGUUAACGUCAUAUCUCUAUUUUGCAAUAGAACUCUAUAAACAGACAUCUUGAUGUUACAAAUUUUCUAUGUGGUUGAUGAUGUAGUUAAGUUAGGAAAAGUAGAGCCAAGCCGUGCCUCCAGAGAUAAGUCUUUUAGUUAACUUGAUCCUCUGGAAAAACAUUCUCUAUGAUGAAAGCUCAAAUGGUUCUUGCCCAUGUCUAAUACAUUGUGAGGUUUGGCUCUAUGUCCCCACCCAAUCUCAUGUUGAAUUGUAAUCCCCAUGUAUUGGAGGAAGGGCCUGGUGGGAGGUGAUUGGAUCAUGGGAGCGGAUUUCCCCCUUGCUGUUCUUGUGAUGGUCAGUGAGUUCUCAUGAGAUCUGAUGGUUUAAAAAUGUGUAGCACUUCCCUGUUUGCUCCCUCACUCUCCUGCAACCAUGUGAAGAAUGUGCCUUGCUUUCCCUUUGCCUUCUGCCAUGAUUGUAAGUUUCCUCAGGCUUCCCAGCCAUGCUUCCUGUUAAGCCUAUGGAACUGUGACUCAAUUAAACCUCUUUUC